CGGAACAGGUGGGUUAUCAUGUGGGGGUCGUGUAUCGGUCCAAGGUGGGUUAUAAUGUGGGGGUCGUGUAUCGGUACAAGGUAUCUAUGGUACGCACGAUAACACGAGACGAAGCAAAAGAAUUUGUCGAGGACGAUCAAGUUCACGGUUGAGCAGUUUUAUAGAAACAACAUUUUGUUGCCGUUUUAUUUGUACAGUUGUUGAGUAAAUGAUUUCUUAUCGUUGUAA